rnacentral:rRNA from 1 species
UACGUAGGGGGCUAGCGUUGUCCGGAAUCAUUGGGCGUAAAGCGCGCGUAGGCGGCCCGGUAAGUCCGCUGUGAAAGUCAAAGGCUCAACCUUUGAAUGUCAGCGGAUACUGCCGGGCUAGAGUCCGGAAGAGGAGAAUGGAAUUCCUGGUGUAGCGGUGAAAUGCGCAGAUAUCAGGAAGAACACCCGUGGCGAAGGCGGUCUCUGGGACGGUACUGACGCUGGAGACGCGAAAGCGUGGGGAGCGAACAGG